rnacentral:rRNA from 1 species
AGAGUUUGAUCCUGGCUCAGAAUGAACGCUGGCGGCGUGCCUAACAUAUGCAAGUCGAGCGAGAAAGUCUCCUUCGGGAGGCGAGUAAAGCGGCGAACGGGUGAGUAACACGUGGACAACCUGUCCUCGAGUGGGGAAUAACCUGGGGAAACUCGGGCUAAUACCGCAUACGCUCGCAUGGCUGCGGCCAUGCGAGGAAAGUUGGCCUAUACAUGUAAGCUGACGCUCAUGGAGGGGUCCGCGCCUGAUUAGCUAGUUGGUGGGGUAAUGGCCUACCAAGGCGACGAUCAGUAGCCGGCCUGAGAGGGUGAUCGGCCACACUGGGACUGAGACACGGCCCAGACUCCUACGGGAGGCAGCAGUGGGGAAUAUUGGACAAUGGGGGCAACCCUGAUCCAGCAACGCCGCGUGGGGGAUGAAGGCCUUCGGGUCGUAAACUCCUGUCAGUGGGGACGAAAAGCCGUCGGUUAAUACCCGGCGGUCAUGACGGUACCCGCAGAGGAAGCCCCGGCUAACUCCGUGCCAGCAGCCGCGGUAAUACGGGGGGGGCAAGCGUUAUUCGGAAUUACUGGGCGUAAAGGGCGCGUAGGCGGCCAAGUAAGUCAAAGGUGAAAUCCCUCGGCUCAACCGAGGAACUGCCUUUGAAACUGCCUGGCUUGAGGCUGGGAGGGGAUAGUGGAAUUCUCGGUGUAGCGGUGA